AUUGAACGCUGGCGGCAGGCCUAACACAUGCAAGUCGAGCGGCAGCGGGACCUUCGGGUUGCCGGCGAGCGGCGGACGGGUGAGUAAUGCCUAGGAAUCUGCCUGUUAGUGGGGGAUAACGCGGGGAAACUCGCGCUAAUACCGCAUACGUCCUACGGGAGAAAGCGGGGGCUCUUCGGACCUCGCGCUAACAGAUGAGCCUAGGUCGGAUUAGCUAGUUGGUGGGGUAAUGGCUCACCAAGGCGACGAUCCGUAACUGGUCUGAGAGGAUGAUCAGUCACACUGGAACUGAGACACGGUCCAGACUCCUACGGGAGGCAGCAGUGGGGAAUAUUGGACAAUGGGCGAAAGCCUGAUCCAGCCAUGCCGCGUGUGUGAAGAAGGUCUUCGGAUUGUAAAGCACUUUAAGUCGGGAGGAAGGGCUGUAGGUUAAUACCCUGCGGUUUUGACGUUACCGACAGAAUAAGCACCGGCUAACUUCGUGCCAGCCGCCGCGGUAACAC
rnacentral:rRNA from 1 species